rnacentral:rRNA from 1 species
UACGUAGGGGGGCUAGCGUUGUCCGGAAUCAUUGGGCGUAAAGAGCGUGUAGGCGGCCCGGUAAGUCCGCUGUGAAAGUCGGGGGCUCAACCCUCGAAUGCCGGUGGAUACUGUCGGGCUAGAGUGCGGAAGAGGCGAGUGGAAUUCCUGGUGUAGCGGUGAAAUGCGCAGAUAUCAGGAGGAACACCGAUUGCGAAGGCAGCUCGCUGGGACGUGACUGACGCUGAGACGCGAAAGCGUGGGGAGCGAACAGG